rnacentral:rRNA from 1 species
UUUAUGGAGAGUUUGAUCCUGGCUCAGGAUGAACGCUGGCGGCGUGCCUAAUACAUGCAAGUCGAGCGAACGGAUGAGAAGCUUGCUUCUCUGAUGUUAGCGGCGGACGGGUGAGUAACACGUGGAUAACCUACCUAUAAGACUGAGAUAACUUCGGGAAACCGGAGCUAAUACCGGAUAAUAUUUUGA